GGGGAGAGAGGAAGCUGCCAUGCCCCAGAAAAGGAUGCGAUAAGGAGUUCACUCGUCGCUUCAAUUUGGAGAGUCACAUUCUGGCAGACCAUGAGAAUAAGAAGCCCUUCAGCUGUGCAUAUGCUGGCUGUGGGAAGAGCUUUGCCAUGAAGGAAAGCCUGUGGAGACAUGGCGUGGCGCAUGACCAGCAAAGAGAAAGCUGAAGAAACUGCGUCCUAAAAAGAAUCAGCCCUGGCGUAUGGCACAGCAGGUCGAACUGGCAGCUGCAGGCAAUCAAGCGGACAAACUAGCUGCAAAGCUGCACAAAACAAC